rnacentral:rRNA from 1 species
UACAGAGGGGGCAAGCGUUAUUCGGAAUUAUUGGGCGUAAAGGGCGCGUAGGCGGCCUGGCAAGUGGAAGGUGAAAUCCCUCGGCUUAACCGAGGAACUGCCUCCCAAACUGCUUGGCUUGAGACCAGGAGAGGUGAGUGGAAUUCCCAGUGUAGCGGUGAAAUGCGUAGAUAUUGGGAGGAACACCAGUGGCGAAGGCGGGUCUCUGGACAGUUCCUGACGCUGAGGCACGAAGGCCAGGGGAGCAAACGGG